rnacentral:tRNA from 1 species
GGGGAAUUAGCUUAAUUGGUAGAGCACCUGUUUUGCAUACAGGAGGCUAUCGGUUCGAUUCCGAUAUUCUCCA